UACGUAGGUGGCAAGCGUUGUCCGGAUUUACUGGGCGUAAAGAGCGCGCAGGCGGUCGAUUUAGUCGCGUGUGAAAGCCCCCGGCUCAACUGGGGAGGGUCACGCGAUACUGAUCGACUCGAAGGCAGGAGAGGGUAGUGGAAUUCCCGGUGUAGUGGUGAAAUGCGUAGAUAUCGGGAGGAACACCAGUGGCGAAGGCGACUGCCUGGCCUGUUCUUGACGCUGAGGCGCGAAAGCCAGGGGAGCAAACGGG
rnacentral:rRNA from 1 species